rnacentral:rRNA from 1 species
AUGGGGGAGGAGAUAAAUCUGGCCGGCGCCGGCGGAGGGGAGGUGAAGCAGGAGGUGGGGGAGGAGGAGGAGAUCGAGUUCGAGCCGACGGAGGACGAGCUGGUGCUGCACUUCCUCCGGCCGCAGCUGCGCGGGUUCGCGCCGCGCGUGGCGGGCGCGGUGGUGGAGGCGGACCCGUGCGCCGCGCCGCCGUGGGAGCUGCUGGAGCGGCACGGGCUGCUGCGGCGCGGGCACGGCUACUUCUUCGCGGCGCGGCGGCGCGGGAAGGGCGCCCAGGCGCGGCGCACCCCGGAGGGCGGCGGCGGCACGUGGAUGCACAGCGGCAACAGGGAGGACCGGCGGUCCGUGACGGAGCUGGGCGUGGUGGCGCGCUGGUCCAUGACGCGGUACUGCUUCUACGCACGCGACGGGGCGCAGGGGCGGCGGAGCACCGGGUGGGUGAUGUCCGAGUACGAGAUCACGGACCCGCGGUGCUACCGCCGCGCCGACGACGGCGAGGAGGACCACUACUGGGUGCUCUGCCACGUCCGCCGGAGCACCAGGAAGAACGUCAAGCCGCGCUCCCGGAGGCGGUAG